rnacentral:rRNA from 1 species
UACGUAGGGUGCAAGCGUUAAUCGGAAUUACUGGGCGUAAAGCGUGCGUAGGCGGCUAUGUAAGACAGAUGUGAAAUCCCUGGGCUUAACCUAGGAACUGCAUUUGUGACUGCAUUGCUAGAGUGUGGUAGAGGGAGAUGGAAUUCCGCAUGUAGCGGUGAAAUGCGUAGAUAUGCGGAGGAACACCAAUGGCGAAGGCAAUCUCCUGGACCUGCACUGACGCUCAUGCACGAAAGCGUGGGGAGCAAACAGG